GACGAACGCUGGCGGCAUGCCUAAUACAUGCAAGUCGAGCGAACGGAUGAAGUGCUUGCACUUCUGACGUUAGCGGCGAACGGGUGAGUAACACGUAAGGAAUCUACCUAUAAGCGGGGGAUAACAUUCGGAAACGGGUGCUAAUACCGCAUAAUAUCUUCUUCCGCAUGGAAGAAGAUUGAAAGACGGCUCUGCUGUCACUUAUAGAUGACCUUGCGGUGCAUUAGUUAGUUGGUGGGGUAAUGGCCUACCAAGACGAUGAUGCAUAGCCGACCUGAGAGGGUGAUCGGCCACAUUGGGCCUGAGACACGGCCCAAACUCCUACGGGAGGCAGCAGUAGGGAAUCUUCCGCAAUGGGCGAAAGCCUGACGGAGCAAUGCCGCGUGAGUGAAGAAGGCCUUCGGGUCGUAAAACUCUGCUAUAAGAGAAGAACAAAUUGUAGAGUAACUGCUACAGUCUUGACGGUAUCUUAUCAGAAAGCCACGGCUAACUACGUGCCAGCAGCCGCGGUAA
rnacentral:rRNA from 1 species